rnacentral:tRNA from 1 species
GCCGAUAUAGCUCAGCUGAUAGAGUAAUCGAUUCGUAAUCGAUAGGUCGCGGGUUUGAGCCCCGCUAUCGGCU